UACAGAGGUCCCAAGCGUUGUUCGGAUUCAUUGGGCGUAAAGGGUGCGUAGGUGGCGCGGUAAGUCGGGUGUGAAAUCCCUCGGCUCAACUGAGGAUCGUCGAUCGAUACUGCCGUUCUUGAGGAUUGCAGAGGAGACUGGAAUUCCCGGUGUAGCGGUGAAAUGUGUAGAGAUCGGGAGGAACACCGGUGGCGAAGGCGGGUCUCUGGGCAAUUCCUGACGCUGAGGCGCGAAAGCGUGGGGAGCAAACGGG
rnacentral:rRNA from 1 species